UCAACUCCCUUCUUCUCCCUUAACUUUCCCUGCGUCGUCCCCUCAUAAAAAAAAACCUUUCCCUUCAUCGUCAAUCUAGCUUCUUCGUCGGUGGUUCUGGCCUCCUCGCCAGAGGCCACCUAUUAGCUUGCUCGGCCGUUGGUUCCAAGGAAACACUUAGCUUGCUCGCGCCGGUGGUUUCAAGAAAGAAAGUUGCUCGCGUCCUAUUUUCCGUCAACCUCUUCGUCGCGGCUAGUAAUCUUCCCUGUCCCCUCAGAUAGGAUUCAACGGUGGUGUUCCAAUAGAUGAGGAAUUAUUUAUCCAGAACAUAGCUGGCAAGCAUAAUGAUGACAUUUACCAGGGCUCUCUUCCCUGAUGACUUCGAGCAGGCUUGAAAUUCACAGAUCAGAAGGUAGCUUAUUUCAGGAGGAACACCCUAUGUACGAUGAUUAAUUACCAAAUUGUUGUUGGGCAUGAAUCAGAAGGUGGCAUUACUCCCACAACGGGUGACGAAUCACAAGGUUUAUACUCCGAGGACUGCGCCUUAUGCUAGUGAGGAAAUUGACGUGGUUCGUGAGCAAUGGGCGAAGUUUUUUACCAGCAAGUAUUUAUUAUUGACCUGAGCGCGCUUGAUCGAGUUGGUUUAGAUGUUAUAGAACA